GGCACAGGAGUUGCUCCUCAAAGCAAGUCUGGUGCGGCCAAGCGCGGCGCUUCCUUUCGGACCUGAGACCCAGAUCCUCAAAACAGAGCUAGCGGUAAGGAGGUCAUAAUAUUAACGAACUCUCAGGACUGCUAUGAGGAUAAAAUGAGAUCAUCAUCAUUAUCACUUACUCAAUGCUUACUACAAUCUUGGCACUCCUCUAAGUGUUAACAAAUACAUCAACUCUAACAAUAACUCCACAAGGAAGAAAUCCUACUAGUGCAUAAGUGAACUUCAGGAAGCUUCCUAUUCCCCGUGGAGUUUGGAAGGAGAAGCGUUUCUGUAUGCUUCUGUUGAGAAGGGAAGAGGAGUCUUCCUGCUUGGACACUGGGCUUCUGAAAAGGCCAUGUGCUCUCCUGUCUCACAGUUUUCUUUCUUUUACUUUUUUUGGGCUUGUCUUUUUUCUUUUUUUAUUCUUUUUUUCUUACCUCACAGUCUUGUAUGUGUUUAAACUGUCACAAGAAUGAGCAUUGGAUGUGGUAGAAAAAAAUCUUGGAUUAGUGCCUCUCAUCAGUCCCUAAAAAUACGUAUGUAUCUCUCCUCAACUCCUGGUGACUCUCUAAGCUUAUGGUAUGCUUUGUAUAUAGUUUUGAGCUUCCCCAAUGAUUUUUAAAACAGGACAAAAUCCCAUAUGAACAUUCUGUUAUACUCCAUUAAAUUGUCAAUACCAGAGAUACGGGAAGAUUGUUUUCUCAUUCUAACUUUAUAUAUCCAAUAUCUAACAAAGCAGCUGCAAAAUGGUUGAUACUCAGUAAAUAUUUGUUGAAUGAAUGAAGGAAUGAAAAGCCAAAUGUAAUAUGUAGAAAAGUUGAUCAUAAAUUCCUUGGUACACAAUAGACAGACAAAGCAUAAUCUAGGAAAUGUGCACCCUGAGAAAUUGCUAUCAUCAUCUUCAUACCUUAUAACAUCUAAAGUUCUUAAACUGGUCCCCUUAAUACCAUAGCACUUAUUGUCUGUAUUUUUAUACUUUUAUGCUUUGGUUUCAUUUUCUACCUAUUAGUUAAACAAUUAUGACAACUGUGGGGAUAAAUUUAAAACAUUACUGUGUUUCUAUAGAGAGUUCUUCUGGAAUGUAGUGAGUAUGAAAUUAUCUCAAAUGUACUCUGAAUUAUUAAAAGGUACAGUUCAAUAAAUAUUUUUAUUUUUGUUCAUUCUUCCCCAAAUCACAUUAAAAUGAUCCUUUUGCACUUAA